GACGAACGCUGGCGGCGUGCCUAAUACAUGCAAGUAGGACGCAGUUGCGAACGGGUGAGUAACGCGUAGGUAACUGCCUAUUAGAGGGGGAUAACUAUUGGAAACGAUAGCUAAUACCGCAUACUAGUAGAUGGACCUGCGUUGUAUUAGCUAGUAGGUUGGGUAAUGGCCUACCUAGGCGAUGAUCCAUAGCCGAGAUUGGGGGGGGAUCUGGCAAACUGGGGGAGGGACACGGGCCAGAAGCCUACGGGAGGGAGCAGUGGGGAAACUUUGGGAAUGGGGGGAACCCUGACCCAGCAAAGCGGCGUGAGGGAAGGAGGUUUUCGGGUCGUGUAGCUCUGUGGUGUAGGGAGCGGUACUUAACCAGAAAGGGACGGCUAACUACGUGCCAGCAGCCGCGGUAAUUC
rnacentral:rRNA from 1 species